CUCCACGGCAUGUGGGAUCCUCCCGGACUGGGGCACGAACCCGUGUCCCCUGCAUCGGCAGGCAGACUCUCAACCACUGUGCCACCAGGGAAGCCCUUAUAAUUUUUGAUUGAAUGUCAGACAUUGCAUGUAAAAGAACAGUAGAAACUGAGCUAUAGAAGUUUGCACUGGAUGCCUGACUUCUCAGGAUAAAGACAUUUCCCAGCCUCCCUGAUGUGGGGGAGAGGAGCGGCAUCCAACUGAGGUUAGUGGCCCACAGGCUCACGGCAGGAGUGUUCAAUGGCAACUUCUAGGACGCUUGUUUUAAGAGAGAACUGGUGUAGGUGAGUUCCCACGUUCCUCCUUUCCUCUCACACUACUACUACACUUCACUUCUGCUGCCAGGUGUGUGGGGUUUGACACAUCGAGCAACUCUCUGGCACCGGCUGGGUGUCCUACAAUCUAACUCCACUCUGACACUACCUGGAGAUAGCCUCAGGUCCCACCCCCACUUCAGAUGUCAAUCACAAGUUUCAGCUUUUCACCUAUACUUCUGACUGACUGGCUGUAAUUGGGGUUCCCAUGACUCUCUCCUUGUGAAUGGCUCAAAGAACUCAGGGAAACACAGUUACCAGUUUAUUAUGUAAUUAAGGAUGUGGUAGAGGAUACGGAUGAACAGCCAGAUGACGAGGAGAGGUCCAGACGGGUCCUGAGUACAGGAGCUUCUGUCUCUGUGGAGUUGGGGUCUGUCACCCUCCCCACAUGUGGAUGUGUUUACCAACCUGGAAAUUCUCCAAACCCCCGAUACUUUGGGGAUUUUUAUAAAGGCUUUGUAUGAUCAAUUAUUAACUCAAUCAUCAGCCCCUUUCCAGACCUUCCCAGAGGAUAGGGGUGGGAUUGAAGUUACAAGCUUCUAAUCAUGGAUUGGUCUUUCUGGUUACCAGCCCCCAUCCUGAAGCUAUUCAAGAGCCCACCAAGAGCUGCCUCAUUAGAAUAACAAAAUUCCUAUCAUCCAAAAUUCCAAGGGCUUUAGGAGCUCUGUGUCAGGAACUGGGGUCAAAGGCCAAAUAUUAGAACAAAAGAUGCUCCUAAUGCCCUUAUCACUUAGGAAAUUACAAGGGUUUUAGGAUCUCUGUGCCUGGACCUGGGAGGCAGAGACCAAUAUAUAUUUUCUAUUAUUUCACAAGGCCCUUUAUCUUUCUCCCCUUUCUCCAUCCUGCUGCUUGGAAAGUGGCUGUGAUGGCUGGAGCUCCAUCUUGAAAGAAAAGGACAAGGGCCAUGCAUAGCAGAGUAACAAGCCUGAGUCCUUGACACCAUGGAGCACCCUACCAACUCAGGCCUGCCCACUCAGAUUUUAUGUGAAGGAGGAAUAAACUUCCAUGUUGCUUAAGCUACUAUUGUCUUGAGAUUUUGGUCAUUCACAAUUAAACCAAUACCAAUUGAUUUAGUAUAUUUCAGGUGGAGCAGAUGAGCUGAGGAAUUCUAUUUUGUACUAAAGGACAAGGGAAAGUGUCAUAUCACCCAGGAAGGGCUGGGUGUGUGAUAGCCUGGAGUGAAAAGCGUGAAAAGCUGGGCAGUCGUUUUGGGGGGUUGGUAGGAACAAUGCUACUUCCUAAAAGUAACCAAGGCCAAGGCUUUUGAACUCCCUUCUUUCUCUGCUAUUGGUCCUUAAUCUUAAACCAGUGCAAAUCCCUUGAGCAUUCAAUAUCCAUAUUGGUAAACUAAUAAUAAUGUUUUAUAAUGUGUUUGGCUUUUAGUUUCACAAGUAAGAAACACUGAACAAUUAAUAGAGAGAAAUUGCAGUAUCACAGUUUGAAAAUUGAAAUAUACUUAAAUAGUAAUAAGAAAGAAGCACUCCAAUUUAUCGACAGUCUUUUAAGUGCUGUGCUAGGCUAAGUACUUUAUAAACAUUAUCUCAUUUAAUCCUAACAACAAUUUAUGUGCUAAAUGAAUUAAAUACUGUUUUUAGCUCCAUUUUCUGGAUGACAUACAUAGAGAUACUUAACUGACACUUGGAGAGAAAGACUAAGCAUACCUAGAAUCACACAGUUAAUAACAGAUCUGCAUGACCCCAACACCCAUACUCCUAAGCAAUACUCUGACUGAAGUUGUGAAGAAAUAUAUUCUACAAAAUCUAGAUCUCUUUUAACAAUUUGAUAUUAAAAUGAGCGUCAGUUGGUGUAACAUCCAGGUUCCCCACAGGAAACAGAAU